UAUCUAGGAACAACUAUGAAUGCUCUUACAACAGUUGUAUUUGUCUUCUCCAAUGUAUUCUCCCUCUUAAGAUUUUCCAUUGCAGUUGACACCAUAACUGUAAAUCAACCCAUUAGAGAUGGUGAGACCAUCAUUUCAGCGGAUGGGAGCUUUGAACUGGGUUUCUUCAGUCCAGGUAAUUCCAAGAAUCGAUACUUGGGGAUAUGGUACAAGAAAAUGGCUACUGGGACGGUAGUAUGGGUUGGCAAUAGGGAAAAUCCAUUAACUGAUUCAUCAGGAGUUUUAAAGGUCACUCAGCAGGGAAUUCUUGUUGUGGUCAACGGUACUAAUGGAAUUCUUUGGAAUACUACUUCAUCACGUUCUGCACAGGAUCCAAAAGCUCAGCUUUUGGAGUCUGGAAAUCUUGUUAUGAGAAAUGGUAAUGAUGGUGAUCCAGAAAACUUCCUAUGGCAGAGUUUUGAUUACCCAUGCGAUACUCUUCUACCGGGCAUGAAGCUCGGAAGGAAUAGAGUAACAGGCCUGGAUCGGUACCUGUCAUCGUGGAAGAGUGCUGAUGACCCUUCUAAAGGUAAUUUUACUUAUGGGAUUGAUCUAAGUGGGUUUCCACAACUAUUUUUGUGGAAUGGUUUAGCUGUAAAGUUUCGUGGUGGACCAUGGAAUGGUGUUCGAUAUAGUGGAAUACCUCAAUUAACAAACAACUCAGUUUAUACAUUUGUUUUUGUUUCUAAUGAAAAGGAGAUAUAUAUUAUUUAUUCUCUUGUUAACAGCUCUGUUAUUAUGAGGCUUGUGUUAACUCCUGAUGGUUAUUCACGAAGGUUCACAUGGACUGAUAAAAAAUAUGACUGGACUCUUUACUCAACUGCACAGAGGGAUGACUGUGACAAUUAUGCAAUAUGUGGAGCAUAUGGAAUCUGCAAGAUUGACCAAUCUCCAAAAUGUGAGUGUAUGAAAGGAUUUAGGCCAAAGUUCCAAAGCAAUUGGGACAUGGCAGAUUGGUCAAAGGGAUGUGUUCGAAGCAAUCCACUGGAUUGUCAGAAGGGUGAUGGAUUUGUAAAGUACUCUGGUGUGAAACUUCCAGACACGCAGAAUUCCUGGUUUAAUGAAAGCAUGAACCUUAAGGAAUGUGCUUUUCUCUGCUCAAGGAACUGCUCUUGCACUGCUUAUGCAAAUUCAGAUAUCAGAGGAGGAGGAAGUGGAUGCUUGCUCUGGUUUGGUGACUUGAUUGACAUCAGAGACUUCACUCAAAAUGGGCAAGAGUUUUAUGUAAGGAUGGCUGCAUCAGAAUUAGAAGCUUCUUCAAGCAUAAAAAGCAGCUCCAAGAAGAAGAAAAAGCAUGUCAUUAUCAUCUUUAUAUCAAUUACAGGAAUAGUUCUUUUAAGUCUAGUCCUGACCUUGUAUGUGCUCAAGAAAAGGAAGAAGCAACUAAAGAGAAAAGGAUACAUGGAUCAUAAUUCAAGAGAUGAAAAUAAUGAAGGCCAAGCGCAUUUAGAGUUACCAUUAUUUGACUUGGAUACAUUAUUGAAUGCCACCAAUAACUUUUCUAGUUACAAUAAGCUUGGAGAGGGUGGUUUUGGACCUGUCUAUAAGGGAAUAUUGCAAGAGGGACAAGAAAUUGCAGUGAAGAUGAUGUCAAAAACUUCUAGACAAGGAUUAAAAGAGUUCAAAAAUGAAGUUGAAUCCAUUGCAAAACUUCAACACCGAAAUCUUGUAAAGCUUCUUGGAUGCUGCAUUCAUGGCAGAGAAAGAAUGCUAAUUUAUGAAUACAUGCCCAACAAAAGCUUGGACUUGUUCAUUUUUGAUCAAAUGCAAAGCGUGGUACUAGAUUGGCCUAAGCGCUUCCUCAUUAUCAAUGGGAUUGCUCGAGGCCUUCUUUAUCUUCAUCAAGAUUCCAGACUCAGGAUAAUCCAUAGAGAUCUAAAAGCAGACAAUAUUUUGCUAGAUGAGGAGAUGACUCCAAAAAUUUCAGAUUUUGGUAUGGCUAGAAGUUUUAGAGGAAACGAAACUGAAGCAAAUACAAAAAGAGUGGUUGGAACAUAUGGUUAUAUGUCUCCAGAAUAUGCAAUUGAUGGACUAUACUCAACAAAGUCGGAUGUUUUUAGCUUUGGUGUUUUGGUGCUAGAGAUUGUGAGUGGGAAGAGAAACAGAGGAUUUUCUCACCCAGACCACUCCUUUAACCUUCUUGGGCAUGCAUGGACAUUGUACAUGGAAGGCAGGUCUAUGGAGCUGAUUGAUACAUCAGUUGGGGACAUGCAUGAUCUAUCACAAGUGUUACGUUCGAUCAAUGUGGGACUCUUAUGCGUACAGUGUAGUCUAGAUGAUAGACCAAGCAUGUAUUCGGUGGUUCUGAUGUUGAGUAGCGACGGUGCACUUCCUCAGCCUAAAGAGCCUGGUUUUUUCACUGGAAGGGAAGCAAAGUCCUCCUCAGGCAAUCAGGGGCCAUCUUCAGGCAAUGGGGUCACCAUUACAAUGUUAGAUGGUCGAUAGAAGACAUUCAUGUUGAUGUUCAUUGUCUUAAAGCAAGCCAUAUUUUGCAAGAUGAGGAGAUGACUCCAAAAAUUUCAGAUUUUGGUAUGGCUAGAAGUUUUGGAAGAAAUGAAAUUGAAGCAAAUACAAAAAGGGUGGUUGGAACAUAAGAUUGUAAGUGGGAAGAGAAAUAGAGGAUUUAACCACCCAAACCACGACCUUAGUCUUCUUGGGCAUGCGUGGACACUCUUUAUGGAAGAUAGGUCUUUAGAAUUUAUUGAUGCAUCAAUGGGGAACUCAUGCAUCCUAUCUGAAGUGCUACGUUUAAUCAAUUUGGGUUUGCUAUGUGUGCAACAUUUCCCAGAUGAUUGACCAAGCAUGCAUUCUGUGGCUCUAAUGUUAGGUAGUGAGGGUACACUACCUCGACCCAAUGAGCCUUGUUUCUUCAUUGAUAGGAAUAUGAUGGAAGCAAAUUCUUCCUCUGGUACUCAAUCCACCAUCACACUAUUGGACGCUCGAUAGAAGAUGCUUCAUGUUGAUGUUUUGUUGUCUUUAGACCUAUGACUUCAACUACUUUUGGCAACUUUUCUCAACCACACUGCUUAGCAUCUAACAAAAGACUCAUCUAAGAUGUUAUCAGGUGAUUAAUCUUUGCUGCUGCUUUUUGUAUGGAUGAUGAUAGUUAUUCAUAAUAUAUAAGUUCAAUAAUAGAAGUUGAUUGUAUAAUGAAAGCUAUUCUUUCCAAAAAUACUAAUUAGUUGCACGUUGUAGGGGAAACCUUGACUCUCUUUUUGGUCU